UUCUCACAAACCCACAUUCACAAAACAGUAAAAACAGUAAAGGAGGCCUUGUAGAACCUCAGGCUCUCUUCCUCCUCUUCCUCCUCCUCCUCUUCCUCCUCCUCCUCCUCCUCCUCCUUUCCCUCCUCUCCCCUUCUUCUCCUCCUCCUCCUCCUUCUUUUAUUUUUCAGUGGAGAAAAAUCUUUCCCAGAAGUCCUGCAAGAGCUCCUCUAUCAUCCUUUUGGUCAGAAAUGGGUGUGAAAAGAGUAUAACACCUCUUUCUCAAGAUUGUUAUGAAUAUAUACUUUAAAAUCUUUUACAGUGUAUAUUUGAGAAAAAAUUCUUGAGUUUUUAAGAAGAGAAUUUUAAUAUUAUUUCUGGUUAAGAAUGAAGAUCUUGAUAAAGGUGACAAGACCUGAGGGUUUCUCUCUCAGUCCUAUGAGGAUAUAUAAUAUAAAGGAAGCUAUCUGCGCAGCAGAAAGGAGUUCAUGGCAAGAAUCAGCUCUGCCAGAACCUUAAAAUCUUGAAUUUCCCAGCCUCCAAAACUGAUAGAAAUAAAUGUUUAUUGCU